rnacentral:rRNA from 1 species
UACGUAGGUGACCAGCGUUGUCCGGAUUUACUGGGCGUAAAGCGUGCGCAGGCGGCUUUGCAAGACAGAUGUGAAAUCCCCGGGCUUAACCUGGGAACUGCAUUUGUGACUGCAUGGCUGGAGUGCGGCAGAGGGGGAUGGAAUUCCGCGUGUAGCAGUGAAAUGCGUAGAUAUGCGGAGGAACACCGAUGGCGAAGGCAAUCCCCUGGGCCUGCACUGACGCUCAUGCACGAAAGCGUGGGGAGCGAACAGG